GGGCCCGUAGCUCAGCAAGGCAGAGCGGCGGACCAACAACCCGUAGGUCGGGGGUUCAAUUCCCCCCGGGCCCGCCA
rnacentral:tRNA from 1 species